CCCUUAGAUGUCCGGGGCCGCACGCGCGCUACACUGAAGGAAUCAGCGUGGCUUUCUCCCUGACCCGAAAGGGUUGGGAAACCCGUUGAAUCUCCUUCGUGAUAGGGAUUGGGGCUUGAAAUUGUUCCCCAUGAACGAGGAAUUCCCAGUAAGCGCGAGUCAUAAGCUCGCGUUGAUUACGUCCCUGCCCUUUGUACACACCGCCCGUCGCUACUACCGAUUGAAUGGUUUAGUGAGAUCUCCGGAUUGGCUCUGUAGGUCCCGCAAGGGAUUUAUUAGUAGCCAAGAAGCUGCUCAAACUUGAUCAUUUAGAGGAAGUAAAAGUCGUAACA
rnacentral:rRNA from 1 species